GAUCCCGUGGCGUAAUGGUAGCGCGUGAGAUUCCAAUUUCUGGGAUACAUCUUCCACCCUCGUUGUUGUUCCGAGAACGAUGGUGUUGCUUCCUCAAGGUUGUCCGUUCGAUUCGGGCCGGGAUCG